rnacentral:rRNA from 1 species
AACGCGAAGAACCUUACCCAGGUUUUGACAUCCUUGGACAAUCCUAGAGAUGGGGGUUUCCUUUGGGGGACAAAACAAGGGGUGCAUCGUGGUUGUCAUCUCGUCUUGUGCGAAGUUGGGGUAAAUCCCCCAACAAGAGCCACCCCCCCUUUUUUUUUCCCCCCGGUUAUGGUGGGGAGUUAUAGGAGACCGCCGGGGUCAAAUCGGAGGAAGGGGGGGAAGAAAUCAAAUUAUCAUGCCCCUUAUUUCCAGGGCUUCCCCCAUGCUACAAUGGGGGGUACAAAGGGAUGCCAAACCGCAAGGGGGAGCGAAUCCCAAAAAACCCGUUUCAUUUCGGAUUGGGGUCUGCAACUCGACCCCAUGAAGUCGGAAUUGGGUCUUGUACACACCG